GGGGAAUAUUGCGCAAUGGGGGAAACCCUGACGCAGCGACGCCGUGUGAGGGAAGAAGGCUUUCGGGUCGUAAACCUCUGUCAGGAAGGAAGAACCUCUCAAGGCUGAACAAGCCUUGGGACUGACGGUACUUCCAGAGGAAGCACCGGCUAACACCGUGCCAGCAGCCGCGGUAAUACGGAGGGUGAAAACGUUAAUCGGAAUCACUGGGCGUAAAACGCGCGUAGGCCGUCUUUUAAGUCGGACGUGAAAGCCCUCGGCUCAACCUGGGACCUGCGUUCGAUACUAGGAGACUUGAGUCCUGCAGAGGGUGGCGGAAUUCCGGGUGUAGGAGUGAAAUCCGUAGAUAUCCGUAGGAACACCGGUGGCGAAGGCGGCCACCUGAACAGGUACUGA
rnacentral:rRNA from 1 species